GAAAUUGUCGUCUUCUGCCGACAGCAGCGCCUGAAUGAAAUGAGGCGGGAUUUCGGCGAAUUUGAUGGGAGAACGGCGCAUCUCGCCGAAUUCGGCAAUCAGCUUGUUGUCGCUGCUGUAGACCCGCAGGGGGAUCUGCAACUGCACGCUCUUCAGGGCAUCAACAGACGGCAGGCUGGGGCUAAGAUACAGGUACGCACCGCUCAGACCGAGCAGCAGGCCACAGAAAAUAGCGACGAAGGACCACCAGAAAAACUUCAGCAGGCGUAUCAAGGCUUUUGGAUUUCCAGAUAA
rnacentral:antisense_RNA from 1 species